GCUCAGCGGUUAUAAAUAUGGGCCCCCUCUCGGGAAACCUUGAGGUGCGCACUCGUCAAAUUCGGAGAAAUCCUCUCUGUCGAUUGGCAGAAAGACAAUUCCGAGCUAAAUUCUUUGGCUAGUGUCAGAGAUAAAUGUGUAGAGACUAGAUGACGGGCUCCUUAAUUUAUAAAUUUAUUUAUAGAAAGGAGAUGGUAUAGUCCAGACCACAAACAUUUUGGUAG
rnacentral:ncRNA from 1 species